CCUACGGGGGGCAGCAGUCGAGGAUCUUCGGCAAUGGGGGCAACCCUGACCGAGCGAUGCCGCGUGCGCGAUGAAGGCCUUCGGGUUGUAAAGCGCUUUAGUGGGGGAGAAAAGCCGAAAGGUGUGAUCUAUCCCAAAAAUAAGCUCGGGCUAAGUUCGUGCCAGCAGCCGCGGUAAGACGAACCGAGCGAACGUUGUUCGGAAUCACUGGGCUUAAAGGGCGCGUAGGCGGGCUAUCAAGUCUGGGGUGAAAUGCCGCGGCUCAACCGUGGAACUGCCUCAGAUACUGACGGCCUCGAGGGAGGUAGGGGCAUGCGGAACUGUAGGUGGAGCGGUGAAAUGCGUUGAUAUCUACAGGAACUCCGGUGGCGAAAGCGGCGUGCUGGACCUCUUCUGACGCUGAGGCGCGAAAGCUAGGGGAGCAAACGGGA
rnacentral:rRNA from 1 species